GGUAUCUUCUUAACUAAAUAUGCAAGCGUAAGGAGUUACGCUACUGCGCAUGCGCAGACGUAUCUCCUUAAAUACGCAUAAUUUGUUAAAAAGAUAUUAAGCAAAGCUGUAGCCAUCAUCAAGACGAACAACUUUUAUUAAUAUCUUCUUAACAAAAUAUGCAAGCGUAAAGAGUUACGCUACUGCGCAUGCGUAGGCGAAUCUCCUUAAAUACGCAUAAUUUGUUAAAAAGAUAUU
rnacentral:miRNA from 1 species